UACGUAGGGGGCUAGCGUUGUCCGGAAUCAUUGGGCGUAAAGCGCGUGUAGGCGGUUCGGUAAGUCCGCUGUGAAAGUCGGGGGCUCAACCCUCGAAUGCCGGUGGAUACUGUCGGACUAGAGUACGGAAGAGGCGAGUGGAAUUCCUGGUGUAGCGGUGAAAUGCGCAGAUAUCAGGAGGAACACCGAUGGCGAAGGCAGGUCUCUGGGCAUUAACUGACGCUGAGGAGCGAAAGCAUGGGGAGCGAACAGG
rnacentral:rRNA from 1 species